rnacentral:rRNA from 1 species
AUUGAACGCUGGCGGCAGGCUUAACACAUGCAAGUCGAGCGAGCGGCCGACGCGUGAGUGAGUUCUGGGAAACUGCCUGAUGGAGGGGGAUAACUACCGGAAACGGUAGCUAAUACCGUAUACCAUCCGCUGUGCCCAGAUGGGAUUGGCGAGUAGGUGGGGUAAUGGCUCACCUAGGCGACGAUCCCUAGCUGGUCUGAGAGGAUGACCAGCCACACUGGAAAUGAGACACGAUCCAGACUCCUACGGGACGGAGCGCAGGGGAAUAUUUCACUGUUCGAGCAAGCCUGGUGCAGACAUGCCACGUGUGUGAAGAAGGCCUUCGGGUUGUGAAGGACUUUCGGUGAGGAGGCGUUACUCGAAGAAGAAGGACCGGCUAACUCCGUGCCAGCAGCCGCGGUAAUAC